rnacentral:rRNA from 1 species
CACCGCGGUUAUACGAGAGACCCUAGUUGAUAGCUGCGGCGUAAAGAGUGGUUAUGGAUCUUAAAGAUAACUAAAGCCAAAGUGCGCCUAGGUCGUUUUACACAUUACGGACGCACGAAGCCCAAAAACGAAAGUAGCUUUACCCUCAUCCUGAGCCCACGAAAGCUAAGAAA